rnacentral:rRNA from 1 species
AUAAGAUCCGUAGUCGAAAGGGAAACAGCCCAGACCACCAGUUAAGGUCCCCAAAUAUAUGUUAAGUGGAAAAGGAUGUGGGGUUGCUUAGACAACCAGGAUGUUGGCUUAGAAGCAGCCACCAUUGAAAGAGUGCGUAAUAGCUCACUGGUCGAGUGACCCCGCGCCGAAAAUGUACCGGGGCUAAACAUAUUACCGAAACUGUGGAUGAACCUCUUUAGAGGUUCGUGGUAGGAGAGCGUUCUAAGGGCGGUGAAGUCAGACCGGAAGGACUGGUGGAGCGCUUAGAAGUGAGAAUGCCGGUAUGAGUAGCGAAAGAAGGGUGAGAAUCCCUUCCACCGAAUAUCUAAGGUUUCCUGAGGAAGGCUCGUCCGCUCAGGGUUAGUCGGGACCUAAGCCGAGGCCGAUAGGCGUAGGCGAUGGACAACAGGUAGAGAUUCCUGUACCAGUGCUAAUUGUUUAACCGAUGGGGUGACACAGAAGGAUAGGGAAUCGCACGAAUGGAAAUGUGCGUCCAAGCAGUGAGUGUGAGAAGUAGGCAAAUCCGCUUCUCGCGAAGCAUGAGCUGUGAUGGGGAAGGAAAUUAAGUACGGAAGUUCCUGAUUUCACGCUGUCAAGAAAAGCCUCUAGGAAGAGUAGUACUGCCCGUACCGCAAACCGACACAGGUAGAUGAGGAGAGAAUCCUAAGGUGAGCGAGAGAACUCUCGUUAAGGAACUCGGCAAAAUGACCCCGUAACUUCGGGAGAAGGGGUGCUCUAUUAGGGUGCAAGCCCGAGAGAGCCGCAGUGAAUAGGCCCAGGCGACUGUUUAGCAAAAACACAGGUCUCUGCAAAACCGUAAGGUGACGUAUAGGGGCUGACGCCUGCCCGGUGCUGGAAGGUUAAGAGGAGUGCUUAGCUUCGGCGAAGGUACGAAUUGAAGCCCCAGUAAACGGCGGCCGUAACUAUAACGGUCCUAAGGUAGCGAAAUUCCUUGUCGGGUAAGUUCCGACCCGCACGAAAGGCGCAACGAUCUGGGCACUGUCUCAACGAGAGACUCGGUGAAAUUAUAGUACCUGUGAAGAUGCAGGUUACCCGCGACAGGACGGAAAGACCCCGUGGAGCUUUACUGCAACCUGAUAUGGAAUGUUUGUACCGCUUGUACAGGAUAGGUAGGAGCCGAAGAGACGUGUGCGCUAGCAUACGAGGAGGCAAUGGUGGGAUACUACCCUGGCUGUAUGACCAUUCUAACCCGCCACGCUUAGCGCGUGGGGAGACAGUGUCAGGUGGGCAGUUUGACUGGGGCGGUCGCCUCCUAAAGAGUAACGGAGGCGCCCAAAGGUUCCCUCAGAAUGGAUGGAAAUCAUUCGCAGAGUGUAAAGGCACAAGGGAGCUUGACUGCGAGACUGACAAGUCGAGCAGGGACGAAAGUCGGGCUUAGUGAUCCGGUGGUUCCGCAUGGAAGGGCCAUCGCUCAACGGAUAAAAGCUACCCCGGGGAUAACAGGCUUAUCUCCCCCAAGAGUCCACAUCGACGGGGAGGUUUGGCACCUCGAUGUCGGCUCGUCGCAUCCUGGGGCUGUAGUCGGUCCCAAGGGUUGGGCUGUUCGCCCAUUAAAGCGGCACGCGAGCUGGGUUCAGAACGUCGUGAGACAGUUCGGUCCCUAUCCGUCGCGGGCGCAGGAAAUUUGAGAGGAGCUGUCCUUAGUACGAGAGGACCGGGAUGGACACACCGCUGGUGUACCAGUUGUU